UACGGAGGGUGCAAGCGUUAUCCGGAUUCACUGGGUUUAAAGGGUGCGUAGGUGGGCAGGUAAGUCAGUGGUGAAAUCUCCGGGCUUAACCCGGAAACUGCCGUUGAUACUAUUUGUCUUGAAUGUCGUGGAGGUGAGCGGAAUAUGUCAUGUAGCGGUGAAAUGCUUAGAUAUGAUGUAGAACACCGAUUGCGAAGGCAGCUCACUAAGCAGACAUUGACGCUGAGGCACGAAAGCGUGGGGAUCAAACAGG
rnacentral:rRNA from 1 species